rnacentral:lncRNA from 1 species
AGAACUGUAUUGACACAGAACUCAAACACCAUUUAGCAAGAUCAAAGACUGGCAUUUUACCUCCAUAGAGGGGACAACUGAAAACUAAAUCAUGGGCAUUUGUUAUACAAUGAACAGCACAGAAUUAGAAAUACCUCUGAGAAAAAAAAAAAAAAAUACUACCGAGACAUUAACCAAACCAGUAUCGUAGUGAAAAAUAAUUCCCUCAAACACCUGCUAGAUCAAGUAAAAACAAGUAAACAUAGUAUAUAGGAUUUGAAAAAUACAAUAAAUUAAGUUUAAAGGUAUUGAUCACUUCACAACUUCUCGCGUGCCAGAAAUUCCCAAUUUCUUUGCCUAAACCAAAUGGAAUCCCACUCAGACCCACUCUUGCCAGGGUUGGCUUCCCAGGAGGGACUAGGACUGCUCUGGGGAGGCCUCUGCUCUGUACUGACCUGGUGGCCCUGAUUUGCUCUGUUCAAGCCCAUGAAAUCGAGUACAUGCUGUGAGGGCCCGUUCUCCCUCCCCGAAGUGGAGCUCGCAUGUGGACCUUUGUCUUAUUCCCUAGAGUACAGCACUGAGUCCUUGGCAGCCAGGAUUCCUUACAGCCAGCCAUCCGAUCCUCAGCCCCUGGCUCUGAGGACACCCACCUCUCAGGACACUGCCACUCUCUCUAGGGGCAAAGCAUUCCCGAACCCAAAGACACAAGGUUGUGGGCAUCUCGCUUUGUCAAAGGAGGCAGGCUGGUGCUUCUAGAAGUAUCUUUUCAUGUUUUUAUUGAUUUGUCCAGAGUAGCAAAAAAGCCACCACGUUCCUCCUUAACCCACUGUCAGACCAGUUUGUGUGGUAGGUACGAAUUUCAGUAUGUAAACUCAGGUUGGCACAGAAGAUAACCUUACUUCUCUAUUCUGAGUUAAGAGUUUGAAAAUUCUAUUACAGGAUUCCACAUGACAGAAAUGUAAUUUGGGGUUUUUUUUGUUGGUGUGUGUGUGUAUGUAUGUAUGUAUGUGUAUGUGUGUGUUUGUGCACACACGUGCCUUCUGCAACUUUCCCCAGGGAAAUACUCCAUGUUUUUUGUUUUUUGCUGUGGCAGUUCUUAAAAGCAGAAGUUGUACAGGCCAGAUUCUCUAAUAAUGAUGAAUGAGAAAGAGAUACAAUACAACUUAAAAACAUUCGAUAAACUCCUCUGAAUAAUUCUCAGACCCAAGAGGUAAAAGUGACUGCAAAUUAAAUAUUGUUUAGAAAAUGGUGAGCAUUUUCAAGAUCUAUGGGAUGUAACCAGAAAGCUACUGGUCAAGACUGAAACCGCAGCCUAAUGCCAGCUUCAUUAUGACAGAUAUAAUGAAGUGUGUUUUUCUUAGGAAAAUGGAUAGCUUUAAUAUAUUUAUUAUUAAACAAGAAGCAAAAUGAAGCAUUGGACUAACAAAAAACUAGAAAAAGAACACCACAAUAAAACUAAGGAAGAGGAUGUGAUUGAUGAUAAUAGAAGAGUAAUCAGUAAGAAUACAGAAUACACACAGCACAACUGAUCGUCAGAGUCAAUGUCCACUUCUUAGGAGGGAUGGUGGGGGGAGGGAAUAAUAUACAGGGCAACUAGUAAGAGAGAAAAGAAAAUAUACACAAUGGGAGGUAUGAGAAAAGGUUAUUAAUCAUAGUGACAGCUAAGAACUUAGAGUCAUGUACAUCUCUAAAAUGAGAUGUCCAAAAACAAUAUGACUUUUCUGGGAAACCAGAAAUCAUCAAUGGGGGCACCUGGGUGGCUCAGUUGUUUAAGCAUC